GUCUACAGCCAUGCCACCCUGAACAAGCCUAACGUCUGAUCUCGGAAGCUAAGCAGGGUCGAGCCUGGUUAGUACUUGGAUGGGAGACCACCUAGGAAGACUAGAUGUUGUAGACA
rnacentral:rRNA from 1 species